UGGGUUCAAUCCCUGGUCCAGGAAGACCCCACAUGCCAUGGAGCAACUAAUCCUGUGUGCCACAACUACUGAGCCUGUGCUCUAGAGCCUGCGAGCCACAACUACUGAGCCUGUGUGCCACAACUACUGAAGCCUGCAUGCCUAGCACCCGUGCUCCACAACAAGAGAAGUCACCGCAAUGAGAAGCCCGCGCACCACAACAAAGAGUAGCCCCCACUUGCCGCAACUAGAGAAAGCCCACGUGCAACAAUGAAGACCCAACGCAGCCAAAAAUAAAAAAUAAAAAAAAAUACUACAAUAUGGUAUCACCUCAAACCAGUCAGAUUGGCAUUCAUUAAAAAGUCUACAAAUAAUAAACACUGGAGAGGGUGUGGAGAAAAGAGAACCCUCUUACACGGUUGGUGGGAAUGUAAAUUGGUGUGGCCACUAUGGAAAAUGGUAUGGAGGUUUCUCAAAAAACUAAAAAUAGAGUUGCCAUAUGAUGUAGCUAUCCCACUCCUUGACAGAUGUCCAGACAAAACUAUAAUUCAAAGAGAUACAUGCACCCCUAUGUUCAUAGCAGUAUUAUUUACAAGGGCCAAGACUUGGAAGCAAUCUAAAUGUCUAUUGACAGAUGAACGGAUAAAGAAGAUGCGGUACAUAUAUACAGUGGAAUACUACUCAGCCACAAAAAAGAAUGAAAUAAUGCCUUUUGCAGAAACAUGGAUGGACCUAGAGAUUAUCGUACUAAAUGAAAUAUUUUGUAUCACAAGGGUUUCAAGAUACCUAGUUUACUACGUUCCUGGAAACAGAAGCAUUGCGCAGCUUGUGGGAUCUUUGUUCCCUGACCAGGCAUCGAACCCAGGCCCUCAGCAGUGAAAGCGUGGAGUCCUAACCACUGGACCACUGGGGAAUUCUUCAAUAAAUGAAUGACUUUACAUCUCUCACUUUAAAACUUUUACAUAUUGGAUAUGACAUUGUUUUAGCAUAAGAUAAUUUUGAAUCCUGAUCCUGUUAUUCAAUAUAUUAGCUAUCCUUUGGGUAUUAUAUCAUCUGUAAAUUGGAUGUUUUCAUUCAAAUAGCUAGGGACAGAGUCAAGGACAGAGCCCUGAAGCACUGAAGACUUCUUUUUAGGUUGAUAUCAAUUACUUAAUUCAGUUUUUUGUAUGUUGGUUUUGGUUUUUUGACCAGCCAUGAGUAUACUUAGAUGUACUAUUUUCCCACUGAUUAUAUCACAAUUGUCCACCAGGUUAAAGUGAGAAGCUUUGUCAGAUACUCUGCAGUGGGGGGAUGGGCCAGGGAAGCACUCUGCAGAACCCUCCAGGUCAAGGGCCUAAAACACCCCUGGCCUAAGGAAGAGGAGCCUGUAAGGAACCCUAAUACUUUACCCUUUAACA